AAUAAACAAAUAUAACACUUUGGUUAAGAGUUGGGUUCAUAAUUUUUAUUACAUCUCCACCAUCGAGAGUCCAAGUAUCAUAUACACCACCAAAAUACAAAUCCAUGGGAACUGGAAGAAAAGCACCAACACCUAGCAAGAUUAGGUGAAUACCCAAAAUUCUGGUCAUUUUGUUUCUAUAUUUUCA
rfam:Picea glauca, whole genome shotgun sequence.